UAGCUUAAUGGUAAAGCACCCAACCGGCAAUUGGGGGAUCUGGGUUCAAGUCCCGA
rnacentral:tRNA from 1 species